UACGUAGGGUGCAAGCGUUGUCCGGAAUUAUUGGGCGUAAAGAGCUCGUAGGCGGUCUGUCGCGUCUGCUGUGAAAACUCGGGGCUUAACCCCGGGCCUGCAGUGGGUACGGGCAGACUAGAGUGCGGUAGGGGAGACUGGAAUUCCUGGUGUAGCGGUGAAAUGCGCAGAUAUCAGGAGGAACACCGGUGGCGAAGGCGGGUUGCUGGGCCGACACUGACGCUGAUGCGCGAAAGCGUGGGGAGCGAACAGG
rnacentral:rRNA from 1 species